GACGAACGCUGGCGGCGUGCUUAACACAUGCAAGUCGAACGGAAAGGCCCUGCUUUUGUGGGGUGCUCGAGUGGCGAACGGGUGAGUAACACGUGAGUAACCUGCCCGGGACUUUGGGAUAACUUCAGGAAACUGGGGCUAAUACCGGAUAGGAGCUCAUGCUGCAUGGUGGGGGUUGGAAAGUUUCGGCGGUUGGGGAUGGACUCGCGGCUUAUCAGCUUGUUGGUGGGGUAGUGGCUUACCAAGGCUUUGACGGGUAGCCGGCCUGAGAGUGUGACCGGCCACAUUGGGACUGAGAUACGGCCCAUACUCCUACUGGAGGCAGCAGUGGGGAAUAUUGCACAAUGGGCGGAAGCCUGAUGCAGCAACUCCGCGUGCGGGAUGACGGCCUUCGGGUUGUAAACCGCUUUCGCCUGUGACGAAGCGUGAGUGACGGUAAUGUAUAAAGAAGCACCGGCUAACUACGUG
rnacentral:rRNA from 1 species